rnacentral:rRNA from 1 species
GCAUAUCAAUAAGCGGAGGAAAAGAAAAUAACAAUGAUUCCCCUAGUAACUGCGAGUGAAGAGGGACAAGCUCAAAUUUUAAAUCUGUCGGGUUCUACCUGACCGAGUUGUAAUUUGAAGAGGCGUUUUCUGUGUUUCUGAUCAGUCCAAGUCCUUUGGGAUAAGGCAUCGCGGAGGGUGAGAAUCCCGUUCGGUUGAUCAGAUUCGCUUUAUGAUACGUCAUCAAAGAGUCAAGUUGUUUGGGACUGCAGCUUAAAAUGGGAGGUAAAUUUCUCCUAAGGCUAAAUAACGGCGAGAGACCGAUAGCGAACAAGUACCGUGAGGGAAAGAUGAAAAGAACUUUGAAAAGAGAGUUAAACAGUACGUGAAAUUGUUGAAAGGGAAACGAUUGAAGUCAGUCAUACCAACGGGAAAUCAACCUUUUGAGCUCGGUCUCGUGGGUUUUGAAGAGUUUCAAAGCCUUCGGAUUCGCGAGUUUGGGAUCUCUUGGUGUACUUUUUCGUACGGUUAGUCAACAUCGGUUUUGAAUGUCAUAAAAUGACUGGAGGAAUGUAGCUUUGAUCUCGUAUUGAAGUGUUAUAGCCUUUGGUAGAUGUGAUGUUUGAGACCGAGGAUUGCAACGGAUACCCUUCAGGGCUAUUCGUCUGAUCUCUGAUACGUUGCCCUGAUGUUGAAAGCUUGCUUAUGAUGUUAGGGUAUUACGGUCAAAAGGUUAGAACGAAUUACAUUCGUUAAGGAUGUUGACGUA